CACGUAGGGUGCGAGCGUUGUCCGGAAUUAUUGGGCGUAAAGAGCUCGUAGGCGGUGUGUCGCGUCGGCCGUGAAAACCUGCAGCUUAACUGUGGGCUUGCGGUCGAUACGGGCAUCACUGGAGUUCGGCAGGGGAGACUGGAAUUCCUGGUGUAGCGGUGAAAUGCGCAGAUAUCAGGAGGGAACACCGGUGGGCCGAAGGCGGGUCUCUGGGCCGAUAACUGACGCUGGAGGAGCGGAAAGCGUGG
rnacentral:rRNA from 1 species